rnacentral:rRNA from 1 species
UACGUAGGGGGCAAGCGUUGUCCGGAUUUAUUGGGCGUAAAGAGCGUGUAGGCGGCCAGGUAGGUCAGCUGUGAAAACUCGAGGCUCAACCUCGAGACGUCGGUUGAAACCACUUGGCUAGAGUCCGGAAGGGGAGAGUGGAAUUCCUGGUGUAGCGGUGAAAUGCGCAGAUAUCAGGAAGAACACCCGUGGCGAAGGCGGCUCUCUGGGACGGUACUGACGCUGAGACGCGAAAGCGUGGGGAGCGAACAGG